UACGUAGGGGGCUAGCGUUGUCCGGAAUCAUUGGGCGUAAAGAGCGUGUAGGCGGCCCGGUAAGUCCGCUGUGAAAGUCGGGGGCUCAACCCUCGGAUGCCGGUGGAUACUGUCGGGCUAGAGUACGGAAGAGGCGAGUGGAAUUCCUGGUGUAGCGGUGAAAUGCGCAGAUAUCAGGAGGAACACCAAUUGCGAGGGCAGCUCGCUGGGACGUCACUGACGCUGAGACGCGAAAGCGUGGGGAGCAAACAGG
rnacentral:rRNA from 1 species